GACGAACGCUGGCGGCGUGCUUAACACAUGCAAGUCGAACGGAAAGGCCCUGCUUUUGUGGGGUGCUCGAUUGGCGAACGGGUGAGUAACACGUGAGUAACCUGCCCUUGACUUUGGGAUAACUUCAGGAAACUGGGGCUAAUACCGGAUAGGAGCUCCUGCUGCAUGGUGUGGGUUGGAAAGUUUCGGCGGUUGGGGAUGGACUCGCGGGUUAUCAGCUUGUUGGUGUGGUAGUUGCUUACCAAGCCUUUGACGGGUAGCCGGCCUGAGAGGGUGAACGGCCACAUUGGGACUGAGAUACGGACCAGACUCCUACGGGAGGCAGCAGUGGGGAAUAUUGCACAAUGGGCGGAAGCCUGAUGCAGAGACGCCGCGUGCGGGAUGACGGCCUUCGGGUUGUAAACCGCUUUCGCCUGUGACGAAGCGUGAGUGACGGUAAUGGGUAAAGAAGCACCGGCUAACUACGUG
rnacentral:rRNA from 1 species